rnacentral:rRNA from 1 species
CGAGUUCAAAAUAAGUCAUAAUGACUCUCGGCAACGGAUAUCUCGGCUCUUGCAUCGAUGAAGAACGUAGCAAAAUGCGAUACGUGGUGUGAAUUGCAGAAUUCCGUGAACCAUCGAGUAUUUGAACGCAAGUUGCGCCCAAUGUCUUUUGAUUGA